rnacentral:rRNA from 1 species
AUGGGGAUCACUCUAGGAAGCGAUGCAAGUUGCGGUGAAUGCAUAAUAAUCAGUCCCGGCCGUUCCCAGUUUCAACCCGAACCAUGUGAAGGUACUUGUUGCCAUAGCUUUCGUGCUGUAGUUUUUUCACAAGUUGUUCCUGCGAUGAGGCUUGUGUGCUUUGAGAGGCCUGGAAUGGGCUGUAUUGCGAAUAUAUCCAGCGGAUUGGUACGAUUGGAAGGCAGGUUCCUGUGCUUGAUUUAUGGGCUAUCGGAAUUGUAUUCCAGCCAAGGGAAACAGAGGACGUGCAGCCUAGCACAUAUUCCUUCUAUUUGGAAAUUUGGUUUCAACACCGCCCAUGUUUCCAUCGAACAAGUUUCCAGUUCAGGAGGUGUGCUACUCUGA